UACGGGGGGGGCAAGCGUUGUUCGGAAUUACUGGGCGUAAAGGGCUCGUAGGCGGCCAACUAAGUCAGACGUGAAAUCCCUCGGCUUAACCGGGGAACUGCGUCUGAUACUGGAUGGCUAGAGGUUGGGAGAGGGAUGCGGAAUUCCAGGUGUAGCGGUGAAAUGCGUAGAUAUCUGCAGGAACACCCGUGGCGAAAGCGGCGCGCUGGACCACUACUGACGCUGAGGAACGAAAGCUAGGGGAGCAAACAGG
rnacentral:rRNA from 1 species